UUGAUAAAUCGGUUGGUAACAACGGUCCAGACCUGUAUCCAAGAAACCGUGGCCAAACGAGUAAACGACCAGCUGUUGCCCGUUAGUGAACCUUCUUUCUUCCUUCGUUUCUUCUUCCACGCCACCUCUUCUUCCUCUCCCCCCUUUUUCUUCUUCUUUUUGCUUCUUUUUCUUCUUCGUGACAUAAACGCUCCAUUGCCAUCGUCGAGUUCGAUCACCUCGAAUAAUAGUGGUUCUCAAAUGACGUACGACGUCAGAAAAAAAUAGAUAAAUAAACAAAUAAAAUGGCCGAUCGAUACUAAGAAGAUGCGUAUAAUGAAAAUAUAUUGAAAAUUUGUAUCGAAACCGGGAAAGAAAAACUGGAAGAGAGUUUAAUCUAACUGGGCAAGCUUUAACACGGAGAAAGGUUUCUUAAAAGAUUAAACGCAGGGAUUAAAAGGGGAAUUACGUCGUAUCGAUUGCACCCUAACGAAUUCCAAGUAUGUAAACGAUGUAUUCGUUUGAUUCGUAACCGCGUUGCAUAAUAAAAGAUCGUAAGAAUUAA